GAUGAACGCUGGCGGCGUGCUUAACACAUGCAAGUCGAACGGAAAGGCCCCUGCUUGCAGGGGUACUCGAGUGGCGAACGGGUGAGUAACACGUGGGUGAUCUGCCCUGCACUUCGGGAUAAGCCUGGGAAACUGGGUCUAAUACCGGAUAGGACGAUGGUUUGGAUGCCAUUGUGGAAAGUUUUUCGGUGUGGGAUGAGCUCGCGGCCUAUCAGCUUGUUGGUGGGGUAAUGGUCUACCAAGGCGUCGACGGGUAGCCGGCCUGGGAGGGUGUAGGGCCACAUUGGGACGGAGAUACGGCCCAGACUCCUACGGGGGGAAGCGGUGGGGAAUAUUGCACAAUGGGCGCAAGCCUGAUGCAGCGACGCCGGGUGGGGGAUGACGGCCUUCGGGUGGUAAACUCCUUUCGCUAGGGACGAAGCGCAAGGGACGGUACCUGGAGAAGAAGCACCGGCUAACUACGU
rnacentral:rRNA from 1 species